GGUGAACGCUGGCGGCGUGCUUAAGACAUGCAAGUCGAACGGCAGUCUUCGGACUGUAGUGGCGCACGGGUGAGUAACGCGUAACUGACCUACACCAAAGUCGCGGAUAACGAUUCGAAAGAAUCGCUAAUACGUGAUGUGCUGUCAGAUUGUGUUCUGCCAGUAAAGAUUGAUUGCUUUGGGAUGGGGUUGCGUUCCAUCAGCUAGUUGGUGGGGUAAAGGCCCACCAAGGCGACGACGGAUAGCCGGCCGGAGAGGGUGGCCGGCCACAGGGGCACUGAGACACGGGUCCCACUCCUACGGGAGGCAGCAGUUAGGAAUCUUCCACAAUGGGCGAAAGCCUGAUGGAGCGACGCCGCGUGAGGGAUGAAGGUCUUCGGAUCGUAAACCUCUGAAUCAGGGACGAAAGACACUUCGGUGGGAUGACGGUACCUGAGUAAUAGCACCGGCUAACUCCGUGCCAGCCGCCGCCGUAACAC
rnacentral:rRNA from 1 species